GUCCAUGUCCAGUGGUGAAGAUCCUGGCCGUGACUUCUGUGGGUAAAUCGAGGAACAGAAAGGAUGCUGUUCUUGGAAUGAAGAUCACGGCUGAUUGCCUCCAUCUGUUCUGAGGAAGAUCUUGGCUGUUACCCUUCUGGGUAAGAAACCCAACAACUAAAGUGAAAUAACAGUAGCCAAAAGAUCUUGUCACGAGAUCUUGGGGUGGGUUUUUCACUAGCGUCCUUUGGAUUAUUUCGACUACGCCAUCCACAGGCCCAUGAUAUGAGUGUGUUGUGAAACAAAGCUCAUAGUUUAAUCCAGUUGGGUGCGAUUCUGGUUAAAAAUAGGAUGGAAUACAUCUUACUCAUUUUCCA